rnacentral:rRNA from 1 species
GACAGAGGGUGCAAACGUUGCUCGGAAUCACUGGGCGUAAAGGGCGUGUAGGCGGGUAGAUAAGUCGGGCGUGAAAUCCCUAGGCUCAACCUAGGAACUGCACUCGAAACUGUUUAUCUUGAGUGCCGGAGAGGAAAGCGGAAUUCCUGGUGUAGAGGUGAAAUUCGUAGAUAUCAGGAGGAACACCAGUGGCGAAGGCGGCUUUCUGGACGGUAACUAG